rnacentral:rRNA from 1 species
UGCGUAGGCGGCGUUGUAAGUCAGAGGUGAAAUCCCACAGCUUAACUGUGGAAUUGCCUUUGAAACUACAGUGCUUGAAUCAGGUUGAGGUCGGCGGAAUGUGACAUGUAGCGGUGAAAUGCAUAGAUAUGUCAUAGAACACCAAUUGCGAAGGCAGCUGGCUAGACCUGUAUUGACGCUGAGGCACGAAAGCGUGGGGAGCGAACAGGAUUAGAUACCCUGGUAGUCC